UACAGAGGGUGCGAGCGUUGUCCGGAAUCACUGGGCGUAAAGGGCGCGUAGGCGGCCUGAUAAGUAGGGGGUGAAAUCCUGUGGCUUAACUGCAGGGCUGCCUCCUAGACUGUCGGGCUCCGAGCACGGUAGAGGCAGAUGGAAUUCCCGGUGUAGCGGUGGAAUGCGUAGAGAGUCGGGAAGAACAUCGGUGGCGAAGGCGGUCUGCUGGGCCGUUGCUGA
rnacentral:rRNA from 1 species